rnacentral:rRNA from 1 species
UUUUUAAUUACUUAAUUUUUUUUUAUUAUUAUUUAUUUUUAUUAAAGUUUUAUUUUCGUUUAAGUAUUUAUUUUUGAAAUAAUUUUUUUUAUUGAUAGUUUAUUUUUACUGAAUAGGAUUUAUUUAUAUUAAUUUUAUAAGUUGUUUGUUUAAUGUACCUUUUGUAUCAGGGUGAAUUUAAUAAUCUUUAUUUAUAUUUAUUUUUCCCGAAGAUAUAAAAUCUAUGAUUUAAUGAUAUAUAAUGUUAUAUAAUUAUUAUUAAUUUUGUUUUAGUAAUGAAAUGUUAUUCGUUUAUAUUGAUAUCUGGUUUCUUAAGAUUAAAUUUAAUUUUUUAUUAUUUAGUUUUUUAAUUUAUUUUUAUUAUUUACAUUUAUUAAUAUUAUUUUGUUAGGGAUAAUCUUUUCAUUUAUAUAAUAAUUUAUUCUUAUUAACAAUUUUUGUAGGCUUAGAAUUAGUAUUCAUUUAAGUAUUUAAUUAUUUAUUUUGUUUUUUUAUAUUUUAUUAUUAUUUUAUUUUAUAUUAAGAUGUUAAUUUAAAUUUUUUUUAUUGUUUAAUAAUGAUUUAAUUAGUAUAAUUUUUAGUUAUUUUAUAGGAAUUCGGCAAAAUAAUUUUCCACCUGUUUAUCAAAAACAUGUUUUUUAGUAUUUUGUUAAAAAUUUAAUCUGCCCAAUGAUUUAUAUUAAAUGGCCGCAGUAUUUUAACUGUGCAAAGGUAGCAUAAUAAUUAGUCUUUUAAUUGAAGUCUUGUAUGAAUGAUUGGAUGAGAAAAUAACUUUCUUUAAUAUAUUAUUAUAAUUUAAUUUUUAAGUGAAAAAGCUUAGAUUUAUCUAUGGGACGAUAAGACCCUAUAGAGCUUUAAAUUUAUUUAGUAUAAUAGUUUUUUUGUUUAAUGUUAAAUUGUUUAAUUAUAUAAUUUUUUUGUUGGGGUGACAAAUAUAAUUUUAAUAAUUUUUUUUUAAUGAUUCAUUUAUUUAUGUAUUUUUGAUCCAUUUUUAUUGAUUAUAAGAUUAAGUUACCUUAGGGAUAACAGCGUAAUUUUGUUGGAGAGUUCUUAUCGAUAGCUAAGUUUGCGACCUCGAUGUUGGAUUAAGAUUAGAAUAUGGGGUAGAUUUUUUAUUUCUAGGUCUGUUCGACCUUUAAAUUCUUACAUGAUCUGAGUUCAAACCGGCGUGAGCCAGGUUGGUUUCUAUCUUUAGAUUAUUAAUAUGUUUUAGUACGAAAGGACCAAUACAUUUAAUUUAUGAAUUUUUUUGUUUAGAUUAUAAUUAAA